ACCUUCUCUGUGUUCCCUGGUAUUCUGAAGGAUGAUGAUGUGUACCUCAUUGUGUAGACCAGAGUGUGAGUGUGCAGGUUAGGACAUCUCCAUGUGUGUGCACUUAGUUCCUUGCCAGGCAACAGAUUUAGGUAUAUAAAGAGAAAGGAGCCUUCCACCUCCUUAUAGUGCACAGAUCUGAGAGGUCCAGAAUUCCUAUUUAUUUAUUUAUUUGACUGGGGAUUGAACCCAAGGGCAUUCUACCACUGAGCUGCAUCCCUAGUCCUUUUUUUUAAAUAUUUUUUUUUUACGGAGCCCAGACCAGAACCCACCAUGUGCAGCCUCAGCUGGAGCCAAGAACCAUGUGCCUGCAUGGAGAGGAACACCACACUGUGGCUCCCUAUCCACCAAAGUGUGACUGCACCCAAACCACCUACAUCUUGGGACAUUACAGCCACAGCCAUAGCCCUUUCCACAUGGUAAUCUCCACUGUGGGACAAUGGACAGGGCCAGGAGACAGCUGUCUGCUGCAGCACUGCGUGCCACACUGUGCCAUCACCGAACAGGCUGCUCAAUGCUAUCACACAGCCCAUCCUCCCAGCCCCAUCUGUGAAAGUGGAUGCCUCCAUCUUGGGACACUUCAACUGCCAUAUUGGGUUACCUCCACUGCCACCUCCGCCAUAUUUAGUUGGGGCAGAUUCCAUCUUGGGACACCAACUGAGGCCUGGAACCCCAAUAGCAAGGUACCUACAGGCUUGAUGCUAUUGCUGCCACCAACUAGGAAUGUGGCCACUUCUAUCUAGGGACAAUAACCAGGAACUGUAAGACCAUCACCAAGGUCUCUGGGGGCCCAGUGGCACCAGAAGUAUCCCUAUUAGGUGUGCUAACAGUCACCAUCCUGUUGCAGAGGCAACAGGGAGCCUUGCAUAGGGUAGCCUCUCUCUCCUUUUUUUUUCCCUCCUGCUAACAGCCAACUUCUGUUGAUUUCCCUUUCACUCUUCCUAUAAUCUAAUACCUCUAUAUUCUCACAUCCUACCUCAUAAACAUCACAUCCUACUCCCUUCCCUCUCUCUCUCUGUUCACCACUACAAACUCUAAACCCUAUUCAAACCUACUGCCUUUAUGGUAGAAGAUAACCAAACUCAUCAUUUCUGUUUAUAGUGGCAAAACUGUAUCUAAAUAGAAGCUAAUUGAUUUAUAGCUGCAUAGCUGCAUUGGGUGCUGUACACGUUGAUCUUUCU
rnacentral:lncRNA from 1 species